CGGGGAGCUGUGAGGGAGGGGGAGUGGGAGUGGCGGCGCCUCCGGCUGCCUCGCGGGGAGCCGGCGCGGGGGGGAUGGGCGAGAGUACCAGUCCCAUCAGCGUGAUCCUGGUGAGCUCGGGCAGCCGCGGCAACAAGCUGCUCUUCCGCUUCCCCUUCCAGCGGGGCCCGGAGCACCCGGCCGCCCAGGCCGGUAAGCCAAGGAGCAGAUACGCUGUGAAUAGCACUAAUGACAACACAGAAGACCAAGAUGGAGACUCCAGAGAGCAAUGUCCUCUAACUGAUGAGCAAUUGGUUUCAGGAUUUUCAGAUGUCAUCCUGGCAACAAUUUUGGCUACCAAAUCAGAUAUGUGUGGCAAAAAAUUUGAGCUGAAGAUUGAUAAUGUCCGUUUUGUUGGCCACCCUACCUUGCUGCAGCAUGCCCUCGGGCAGGUAUCCAAAACUGAUCCAUCACCAAAGAGAGAGAUGCCCACCAUGAUUCUCUUUAAUGUUGUAUUUGCCUUAAGGGCCAACGCAGAUCCAUCGGUGAUCAACUGUUUACACAACCUCUCUCGUCGAAUUGCCAUAGUUCUACAGCAUGAGGAGCGUCGUUGUCAGUACCUGACCAGAGAGGCCAAGCUGAUCCUAGCCAUUCAGGAUGAAGUGUCUGCCAUGUCAGAAACAGCAGAAGGUCCGCAAUCACCUUUCCAUCACAUUCUACCCAAGUGCAAGCUGGCCAGAGACCUCAAGGAGGCUUAUGACAGUCUUUGUACUACAGGGGUGGUGCGAUUGCACAUCAACAACUGGCUUGAAGUGAGUUUCUGUCUGCCUCAUAAAAUCCAUUAUGUUGCAACAAGCUUUAUACCUCCUGAAGCGAUUGAAAGAAGCCUGAAAGCGAUUAGGCCUUACCAUGCCUUAUUACUACUGAAUGAUGAGAAAUCGUUGCUUAAUGAGCUCCCAUUGGACUGUUCCCCGGCCCUGGUGAGAGUGAUUAAAACUACCUCUGCUGUGAAGAAUCUGCAGCAGCUGGCUCAGGAUGCUGACCUGGCAUUACUACAGGUUUUCCAGCUUGCUGCACAUCUGGUUUACUGGGGAAAAGCAAUUAUUGUCUAUCCACUGUGUGAAAACAACGUCUAUAUGCUGUCCCCCAAUGCCAGUGUUUGUCUUUACUCCCCUUUGGCAGAGGAAUUUUCAUGUCAGUUUCCUGGCCAUGAUUUGCCGUCUGUGCUUUCCAAGUUCUCUUUGCCAGUUUCCUUAUCAGAGUUCAAGAAUCCGCUAGCUCCGCCAGUACAGGAGACUCAGCUCAUACAGAUGGUGAUAUGGAUGCUCCAGCAUCGCCUUCUCAUCCAGCUCCACACAUAUGUCUGUUUGAUGGUGCCCCCGAAUGAGGAAGAUUUCCGAGCUCAAGAUGAAGACAUGCCCUUCACUGCCAGAGUUGGAGGCAGAAGUCUAAGCACUCCCAAUGCUCUCAGCUUCGGCUCCCCAACCAGUAGUGAUGAUAUGACUCUCACAAGCCCUAGUAUGGAUAAUUCCAGUGCUGAGCUGAUACCUGGUGGUGACUCGCCAUUGAAUAAACGGAUGACUGAGAACCUGCUAGCGAGCUUGUCUGAACACGAGCGGGAAGCUAUCCUCAAUGUCCCUGCUGCACAGAAUCCAGAGGAUCUACGCAUGUUUGCAAGGUAGAACGCCAGAGCUCAUCUGACAACCAGCGAGUGAAGUCUCCUUUCCUCACUGGAAACAGGAGGUUUGGGGAAGAAUACUGGUUUGAAGCAGAAGUCCGGAGAAAUCUGUGGACAUAGAGGAUUCUGACUCAGGCCACAUGGCAGUAAGAAGGAACUGAAGAGGCAUAAAUCCCACCAACACUUAUACCCUUAGUUCAGAGCACAAGAACUACUAAACAGGCACGGACCAACGGACACUACUUGCUAGAAAUCUCAGGCGCAUGGUGUGUGUGUGUACCCACUUGUGGAAUACACAUGUAAGGAGCAGCACUUGAAGAAGUGGGUAUUACGCCAGUCCUGCUCCCUUUGGUAAAUUACUGGAUUGAGCUGCUGCAAUACAGAAGCCCAGCGGUGCCAACUGGCAAAGGAUUCACUACUCUGUCGGCAACUCCUAUCAGGCCUGACAAACUCACUACUGUUAACACAUUGCUUUCAUGGUAUUUAUCUAUAAAUAAUGACUUGUAAGGUAUCAAAUGAAAGCUGGUGACACACUGGCCAUAAGUGAUGAAAGCUGUACAUACAGAUGGUGUGUAAGCAGUUAUGUGUACCUACUAAAAUAUGUUUUAAACUAUUUAAAAAGGUAAAGUUGACAAACAGGUUUUCUGCCAGACAAACUAUCUAUAUCCAUUCACCUAUCCCUGUCUCUGAUGUAAAUUAAGCAUUGUAAGCCAAACACAUAGUAGCUACAUUUGCAUUCCAAGUCAACAUGAGGCUGAGAAGUCCCCAUGAGGGUCGGCACACUGAAGAACAAAUGGAGGGCGUUUCCAACUUUUACUGGUCUGUAACUGGGGGUCAAGACAGAUAUUUUGGUUGUCCAUCACCGAGGGAGCAAAAAGGACAGCGCCUUUUGCAUUCAUGAAUGGUGGAUCCUAGCCAUGUAGGUUGGUGAAACUAGGUAGAAGCUUUAGGUGAGACACUUUAGGUGAGACCUUGCUUUAGACAAGGAUUUCAGCCCGUUAAAGGUAAACGUAGGCUCUAAGGACCGUGUUAUACCUUUUGUUUUACAUGUAACCAUUUCUGUUUCCAUUAUCCUUUCUCAGUAUCUCUUAAAUCUUUAUCUCUGACAAUAAACUUACAGUUGUUUCACUAUAAA